rnacentral:tRNA from 1 species
GCGCCCAUAGCUCAGAUGGACAGAGCAGGAGCCUUCUAAGCUCUUGGUCAGGGGUUCGAAUCCCUUUGGGCGCGCCA